rnacentral:rRNA from 1 species
GUACACAAAAAUGCACAUGCUGUGAGCUCGAUGAGUAGGGCGGGACACGUGGUAUCCUGUCUGAAUAUGGGGGGACCAUCCUCCAAGGCUAAAUACUCCUGACUGACCGAUAGUGAACCAGUACCGUGAGGGAAAGGCGAAAAGAACCCCGGCGAGGGGAGUGAAAAAGAACCUGAAACCGUGUACGUACAAGCAGUGGGAGCACGCUUAGGCGUGUGACUGCGUACCUUUUGUAUAAUGGGUCAGCGACUUAUAUUCUGUAGCAAGGUUAACCGAAUAGGGGAGCCGAAGGGAAACCGAGUCUUAACUGGGCGUUAAGUUGCAGGGUAUAGACCCGAAACCCGGUGAUCUAGCCAUGGGCAGGUUGAAGGUUGGGUAACACUAACUGGAGGACCGAACCGACUAAUGUUGAAAAAUUAGCGGAUGACUUGUGGCUGGGGGUGAAAGGCCAAUCAAACCGGGAGAUAGCUGGUUCUCCCCGAAAGCUAUUUAGGUAGCGCCUCGUGAAUUCAUCUCCGGGGGUAGAGCACUGUUUCGGCAAGGGGGUCAUCCCGACUUACCAACCCGAUGCAAACUGCGAAUACCGGAGAAUGUUAUCACGGGAGACACACGGCGGGUGCUAACGUCCGUCGUGAAGAGGGAAACAACCCAGACCGCCAGCUAAGGUCCCAAAGUCAUGGUUAAGUGGGAAACGAUGUGGGAAGGCCCAGACAGCCAGGAUGUUGGCUUAGAAGCAGCCAUCAUUUAAAGAAAGCGUAAUAGCUCACUGGUCGAGUCGGCCUGCGCGGAAGAUGUAACGGGGCUAAACCAUGCACCGAAGCUGCGGCAGCGACACUGUGUGUUGUUGGGUAGGGGAGCGUUCUGUAAGCCUGCGAAGGUGUGCUGUGAGGCAUGCUGGAGGUAUCAGAAGUGCGAAUGCUGACAUAAGUAACGAUAAAGCGGGUGAAAAGCCCGCUCGCCGGAAGACCAAGGGUUCCUGUCCAACGUUAAUCGGGGCAGGGUGAGUCGACCCCUA